AGUGAUUUAUUUCGUCGGGAGGGCUAAGUUCGAAAAGCGGGGUGAUGCUGUCGAGGGGCUGAUUUCACGGACACCCCCCCCCUCCCCCCCCGGUUUUUCAGUGGUGGCGCCUCAGUUUGAGCGCCGGCCGGGAGUUGUCCGUCAAGAUUCACCUCGUCCCCCAGUGUUGAGGAAAAACACGUCGUGGGCACAGAUCCUAUAGCAGAUCUUUGGUCGUGGGUCACUUGGACAGCGGUUUCUUCAAACAAUGGGAUCAUGACAGAAGCCUCCUCAUGGCAAUCCCUGGAAGCGAAAACGGGCGACAUUGUGUCGGGCGACAUUUCUGUCAACAUGUUGGACGAUGACAGAAGCCAACAGCGAACUACAUCGUCUGACACACAAGCGAACGAACAAAACAAUGCUCGUUCAAAGAAAAGUCCUUCAAAAAGGACUCCGUCAAGGAAUCUUCCCUUCCAACUCCAGAUUCGCUCCAUAACCUGAAAUGAAAAGAGUGUUAACAACACUAGCUACAAAGAAAAGCAUGGGCCUAAGUCAAGUGUCAAAUCAAAAGCACAAACAUGGAGGGACAAAUUAAAGACAAAUAAUCCAGACAGGUACAGUGAUAUUUAAAAAAAUGGCAAAGCACUACAGUCAGCUGUAUGGAAUAAACAUGGCAACUGCAGAACAAAAUAUGAAGAAGGGAAAUCUUAAUCCACGAGAGAGAGAAGAGGCAGAAAAGUGGAUCGAAAGGAAAAUGCACUACAAUGAACAGGGCAAAUUGCGACAAAGAAAACAUCAAGAGAAGAAGAGGUUGGAGAAGGAAAAGAACAAGGAUAAACCCCAAAAGCCAUUAACAAGGCAGAAGGCUGAUAAGAGAGAAUAUGAGCGGAACAAGAAAAUAAAUCAACGUGCAGGCUAUUCGAAGUAGAGGCGUGAGGCAAUGAAUGCAAGGCGGCGUGAGUUGUAUAUAGAAAAGAGCAAAAAAGGAACAAAAUAUUUGAAGAACAACAAAGAAAACGUCAUGAAAAAGAGGAAAAACUCAUGGACAUAGAAGCAAGAUUGAGAGAGAAAAAAUGGCAUUGCAGAAGAAGCAAGAAGAAUUCACACUGGCAGCAAAGGAGAUAAAAGAGAGAAACAAACUACUAGUCCCUCCUGAUGGAGUUGAUGUGCGGUCAAGGACAGCAAAACGACAAAACCUCUGCCGUGCUAGGCCUACCACGUCAAGUGCCUAAUUUUGCAGGAACAGUUUUAGAUGUUGUGAGCAAGGCUUCAAUGAAUGCUAAAGCAUUAAGAAGGCUGGAAUUAUCAUCACAAGGAUUUCAUCGACAUAUGUCCCGAAACAGAACAAUAAAAAUUUUACUUGCAGCAGCAGCACAACAGGUUUAUAAACACAUUGGGCAAUAGAUAAUGAAAUAACCGAACAGAAAAAAAGUUUAAUUAAAAAAAACUUAACCCAGAGUUUCAGAGUUUAAUUGGAGUUUGGUUGUUGGGAAGAAGCUGCUCCUGAACCUGGAUGUUACAAUUUUCAGACUCCUUCAUCUUCUUCCCGAUAACAGGAGUGAAAUGAGUGACCAAUGUGCUGUGAGUUCGUGAUGAUAUUGGCUGCCUUUUUGUGACUGCCUGUUUUUUGAGACAGUUCCCCUUCAUUGGGUGGAUAAUUAAAUACAGUCGAUCUUAUAGACUCGUACAUCAUGAAACAGCUCCACAACACUCCCCAUGACCCUGCUAUUCACUGAAUGUACUGCUCUGAUGUGACUCCAAAAUGCAACAUCUCGUACUUAUCUAUUAUUACUAAUAUCAUGUCCUCACGAUUAUUAUUGUUUAUUUGUAUGCUUUUAUUACCUGAGAUAGCGCUCGUACAGCCACAAGUUAUUCGGAACUCUUCCUAUUUGGUGUUCUUGAUAAAUAGCCAACUGGCACCUUUGAAAUUUGCUUUUUAAAACUUACUUCAUUAAAAAAUUCUGAAAUAAAUAAAUAUCUUCAAAUCGGCAUUAUAAUGAAUAAAGUUACUCUGUUACUUAAAAUGAACACAUCGGUUAUCAUUGAUUAAAGUACAUAAUCUGUUCUUUAUCACACCUCAUCCUGGAUCUCACCUUGAGGACCAGUCUACUAUGUGGAAACUUGUCAAAAACCAUGCUUAAAACCAUGUAGAUAACAUUUGUUACCCUGUUCUCCUUCUGGACGCUUCCUCAAAAAUCUAAAUUAAAUUUGCAAAGCUUGAUUUUGCACGCACAAUGUGGUUCUGACUAUCCCUAAUCAAACCGUGCCUUUGAGUACUCUCAGCAGAGAUCCGUGUAAUUGUUUUCAAAUUUUCUUCCAUUAAAACGCAUCACCCCAUUUCCCUCGUAAUUGCUUACUGCAGCUCCAUGUUGACUUUCAAUGAUUCAGCUCCCCUGAAUCCUUUCAAUUUCUUACAUUUGGAACAGUAGCCUGACCUUUUAUUUUUUCUAUCAAAGUGGAAAAUGUCACAAUUGGCCUGAUUAUAUUCCCUAUGCCACAUCCUUGCACUUACUUUCCUUUUAUCUGUCCAAAUUGCCCUGAAUCCUACUUGCUUCCUCACUGCAGUUACCUCCUGGUUUGGUACCAUUUGUAAACUUCUGUUCAAUAAUGAACCAUUUUUGGGGGGGGAAAAAAAUCAAGAUAGUAAUUUCUAGAAAUAUUCCACAAUGAUAAGCCCCAUUGCUUUGUGUAUAUUUAUGCAUUCUUGUUUUUUAUCUUAUAAAAUACAAUGUGCCAACAUUUGCAGCAUGGAGAAUGUGAGCAAAAAUGAAUUAAAAAAACUUGCCACUGGGGGGUGAUAGCAUCUAAUGAAUGACUGAUGUUUAAGAGGGAACUGCAGAUGCUGGAAAAUCAAAGGUAGACAAAAAUGCUGGAGAAACUCAGCGGGCGAGGCAGCAUCUAUGGAGCGUAGGAAAAAGGUAACGUUUUGGGUCGAGUCCAUACAUCCAGCACGCAAAUAACAGUGAAUUGGCCAACUGGAUACACAUGAAACUUAAUCAGGAACGAAAACAAACUGAUGGAGGAACUAAGCAGGUCAAUCAGAAUCUGUGGAGGUAAAGGUAUGGCUGACUUUUCAGAUUUAAUAGAUGAGAGUCCAGUUGUUCUUGUUUAACUGCUGGAGACUGGGGAGAAGGGGGGGGGGAGGGGGACGUGAAUGGAAGUGAUGAAUCUUCAGCCUAAAGUUGUAGGUCAACUUGUUCUAUUUGAUCUUUUGUUUCUGCACGUCGGGUUGAUUGCAUUAGUCAAAACAGGGUGGACCAUGUGAAGGUUGCAAUCUCCCACCCCAAGUGAUGGGUGUUUGAUAUUCAUUUAUAUGGCACUGCGCCUCUUACAAAUGUCUUGAAACACCUCUUGCACAAAAUAAUUCAGUUGUUAGCAAAACUUAAUUGACAUGGAUUUUAUGUACAGAUUGAUCCCAGAGAAGAUAAACUUGGCGAAUGGAGGUAUGUGAAGGAAGGUUAUUGAUGCAAAACU